rnacentral:rRNA from 1 species
UGGGGAAUAUUGCACAAUGGGCGAAAGCCUGAUGCAGCAACGCCGCGUGAGUGAUGAAGGCCUUCGGGUUGUAAAGCUCUGUCUUUUGGGACGAUAAUGACGGUACCAAAGGAGGAAGCCACGGCUAACUACGUGCCAGCAGCCGCGGUAAUACGUAGGUGGCGAGCGUUGUCCGGAUUUACUGGGCGUAAAGGAUGCGUAGGUGGAUAUUUAAGUGAGAUGUGAAAUACCCGAGCUUAACUUGGGUGCUGCAUUUCAAACUGGAUAUCUAGAGUGCAGGAGAGGAGAAUGGAAUUCCUAGUGUAGCGGUGAAAUGCGUAGAGAUUAGGAAGAACACCAGUGGCGAAGGCGAUUCUCUGGACUGUAACUGACACUGAGGCAUGAAAGCGUGGGUAGCAAACA